GGUCAAGUUAUUAAGGGUGCAGGGCGGAUGCCUUGGCACUAGGAGCCGAUGAAGGACGUGAUAAGCUGCGAUAAGCUUCGGGGAGUUGCACGUAAACUUUGAUCCGAAGAUUUCCGAAUGAGGAAACUCACUUAGAGUAAUGUCUAAGUAUCAUUAAGUGAAUACAUAGCUUAAUGAGGGGAACUCAGGGAACUGAAACAUCUAAGUACCUGAAGGAAGAGAAAGAAAUUCGAUUCCGUAAGUAGCGGCGAGCGAACGCGGAUUAGCCCAAACCAAUAAAGUUUUCUUUAUUGGGGUUGCGGACAUAUCAUAACGAAGAGGUAUCGUAAUUGAAGAGGUUUGGAAAGACCCACCACAGAAGGUAAUAGUCCUGUAUGUUAAACGAGAAGACUUUAGAUAUGAUCCAGAGUACCACGGGACACGUGAAACCCUGUGGGAAGCAGGAGGGACCACCCUCCAAG
rnacentral:rRNA from 1 species